CGAAGUAGCAAUACUUAGUGGCAGACGGGUGAGUAACAUGUAGGUAUCUGCCCUUUGGCCUGGAAUAACACGAGGAAACUUGUGCUAAUACCGGAUAAGUCUUUACGGAGAAAGCUUUAUGCACCAUUGGAUGAGCCUGCACUUGAUUAGUUUGUUGGUGGGGUAAUGGCCUACCAAGACUGUGAUCAAUAGCUGAUUUGAGAGGAUGAUCAGCCACAUUGGGACUGAGACACGGCCCAAACUCCUACGGGAGGCAGCAGUGGGGAAUCUUGCACAAUGGAGGAAACUCUGAUGCAGCGAUGCCGCGUGAGUGAAGAAGGCCCUUGGGUUGUAAAGCUCUUUCGUCGGGGAAGAAAAUGACUGUACCCGAAUAAGAAGGUCCGGCUAACUUCGUGCCAGCAGCCGCGGUAAUACGAAGGGACCUAGCGUAGUUCGGAAUUACUGGGCUUAAAGAGUUCGUAGGUGGUUGAAAAAGUUAGUGGUGAAAUCCCAGAGCUUAACUCUGGAACUGCCAUUAAAACUUUUCAGCUAGAGUAUGAUAGAGGAAAGCAGAAUUUCUAGUGUAGAGGUGAAAUUCGUAGAUAUUAGAAAGAAUACCAAUUGCGAAGGCAGCUUUCUGGAUCAUUACUGACACUGAGGAACGAAAGCAUGGGUAGCGAAGAGGAUUAGAUACCCUCGUAGUCCAUGCCGUAAACGAUGUGUGUUAGACGUUGGAAAUUUAUUUUCAGUGUCGCAGGGAAACCGAUAAACACACCGCCUGGGGAGUACGACCGCAAGGUUAAAACUCAAAUGAAUUGACGGGGACCCGCACAAGUAGUGGAGCAUGUGGUUUAAUUCGAAGAUACGCGCAGAACCUUACCAACACUUGACAUGUUCGUCGCGACUCUAAGAGAUUAGAGUUUUCGGUUCGGCCGGACGAAACACAGGUGCUGCAUGGCUGUCGUCAGCUCGUGUCGUGAGAUGUUGGGUUAAGUCCCGCAACGAGCGCAACCCUCACUUUUAGUUGCCAUCAUUAAGUUGGGCACUCUGAAAGAACUGCCAGUGAUAAGCUGGAGGAAAGGUGGGGAUGACGUCAAGUCCUCAUGGGCCCUUACGU
rnacentral:rRNA from 1 species